rnacentral:rRNA from 1 species
GCACCCCGAUAGGGGGAAUGAAAUAGUAUCUGAAACCGAAUGCCUACAAGCAGUUAGAGCUCCUUUAUGGAGUGAUAGCAUACCUUUUGUAUAAUGGGUCAGCGACUUAGUCUGUGCAGCAAGCUUAAGCCAUUAGGUGUAGGCGUAGGGAAACCAAGUCUUAAUAGGGCGUUUAGUUGUAUGGAUUAGACUCGAAGCGGGAUGAGCUUAAUAUGAGCAGGUUGAAGAUAUAGUAACAUAUAUCGGAGGACCGAACCAAUAGACGUUGCAAUGUCUUUGGAUGACUUGUGUUAAGGGGUGAAAGGCCAACCAAAUUCCGCUAUAGCUAGUUCUCCGCGAAAACUAUUUAGGUAGUGCGUUGUGUUAAUGUUGUUAGGGGUAGAGCACUAGAUGGGCUAGGGGGAAGCGAUUCCUACCAAACCUAACUAAACUCCGAAUACUAGCAAUUUCUGCACAGCAGACAGACUAUAGGUGCUAAGGUCUAUGGUCGAGAGGGAAACAGCCCAGAUCACCAGUUAAGGCCCCCAAAUAAUGGCUAAGUGGAAAAGUAUGUAGAAAGUCCAAGACAGGCAGGAGGUUGGCUUAGAAGCAGCCAUCCUUUAAAGAUAGCGUAACAGCUCACUGUUCUAAUUAAGACUUUCCGCGACGAAGAUGUACCGGGGCUCAAGCCAUUUGCCGAAACUGUGACUUUGUAAGUAUUGCGAUACUUGCAAGGGGUAGCGGAGCGUUCUGUAAGCCGUUGAAGGUAUCUCGAAAGGGGUGCUGGAGGUAUCAGAAGUGCGAAUGCUGACAUGAGUAGCGAUAAAGAGUGUGAGAGACACUCUCGCCGAAAUCCUAAGGUUUCCUGCGUAAAGCUAAUCUGCGCAGGGUUAGUCGACCCCUAAGGCGAGGCAGAAAUGCGUAGUCGAUGGGAAACAGGUUAAUAUUCCUGUACCUGCUGUGAGUUGACGGAUCACGUAAAUUGUAUUUUCUUAUUGGAUUGAAAAUGCAGUGAAGUGGUUCCUGGAAAUAGCCACAGCAUAUAGAUCGUACCUAAACCGACACAGGUAGGAAGGUAGAGUAUACCAAGGCGCUUGAGAGAAUGAUGUUGAAGGAACUCGGCAAAAUGCCCUUGUAACUUCGGAAUAAAAGGGACCAAUUUUUAGGCAACUAGAGAUUGGUGGCACAGAAUAGGGAGAAGCGACUGUUUAUCAAAAACACAGGUCUCUGCUAAGUCGUAAGACGAUGUAUAGGGACUGACGCCUGCCCGGUGCCGGAAGGUUAAAUGGUGGAGUGCAAGCUCUAAAAUGAAGCCCCGGUGAACGGCGGCCGUAACUAUAACGGUCCUAAGGUAGCGAAAUUCCUUGUCAGGUAAGUUCUGACCCGCAUGAAUGGCGUAACGAUUUCUCCGCUGUCUCCAACAUCAACUCAGCGAAAUUGAAUUCUCCGUGAAGAUGCGGAGUACGUGUAGUUAGACGGAAAGACCCCGUGCACCUUUACUACAGCUUUACAGUGGUAUUAGGAAAACAAUGUGUAGGCUAGGUGGUAGACUUUGAAGCAGAAGCGCUAGCUUUUGUGGAGUCAAAAGAUGAAACACCACCCUUUGUUUUCUUGAUAUCUAACCAACAUCCAUUAUCUGGAUGUGGGACCCUGUAUGGUGGGUAGUUUGACUGGGGCGGUCGCCUCCCAAAGAGUAACGGAGGCGCGCGAUGGUAGGCUCAGGCUGGUCGGAAAUCAGCUGUAGAGUGCAAUGGCAUAAGCCUGCCUGACUGUGAGACGUACAUGUCGAGCAGAGUCGAAAGACGGUCAUAGUGAUCCGGUGGUUCCAAGUGGAAGGGCCAUCGCUCAACGGAUAAAAGGUACGCCGGGGAUAACAGGCUGAUACCCCCCAAGAGUCCAUAUCGACGGGGGUGUUUGGCACCUCGAUGUCGGCUCAUCACAUCCUGGGGCUGGAGAAGGUCCCAAGGGUUUGGCUGUUCGCCAAUUAAAGUGGUACGUGAGCUGGGUUCAGACCGUCGUGAGACAGGUCGGUCCCUAUCUUCCGUGGGCGUACGAUAUUUGAGAAAAUCUGCCUCUAGUACGAGAGGAUCGAGGUGGACGAACCUAUGGUGAGUCAGUUGUUGUGCUAACAGCAUGGCUGAGUAGCUAAGUUCGGAAAGGAUAAACGCUGAAAGCAUAUAAGCGUGAAGCCUGCUUUAAGACUAGAUAUCGUUCUCUAAUUUAUUAGGGUGAAGACAUCUUAAAGACUAUGAGAUUGAUAGGCCAGGUGUGUAAGUCCGGUAACGGAUUCAGCUAACUGGUACUAAUUUGUCGAAAAGCUUGAUCAC